rnacentral:rRNA from 1 species
CUUUACUGUAACUUGAAAUUGAAGUUGGACUUUACUUGCGCAGUAUAGGUGGGAGGCGUUGAGAAUAUUCUUGCGGGAAUAUUGGAGCCAUCAGUGAGAUACCACUCUGGUAAUGUUAGAUUUCUAACUUUGCAUCAUUAUCUGGUCAAAGAACAGUUUCAGGCGGGCAGUUUGACUGGGGCGGUCGCCUCCUAAACGGUAACGGAGGCGCACAAAGGUUUCCUCUGAACGGGUAGAAAUCGUAUCUAGAGUGUAAAGGCAUAAGGAAGCUUGACUGUGAGACCUACAAGUCGAGCAGGGACGAAAGUCGGUCUUAGUGAUCUGACGGUGCUGAGUGGAAAGGCCGUCACUCAACGGAUAAAAGUUA